GCGCUUGCUUCAGCGCCACGUGUACCAGAGCUAGACCACCGCGGAGAAGACAGCACGGCCCCUGCAAAAGGAUGGUACGCAAAUUCCCGAGGCACACCUUAAUUUU
rnacentral:snRNA from 1 species